rnacentral:rRNA from 1 species
GACGAACGCUGGCGGCGUGCCUAAUACAUGCAAGUAGGGCGCUGAAGAGAGGAGCUUGCUCUUCUUGGAUGAGUUGCGAACGGGUGAGUAACGCGUAGGUAACCUGCCUUGUAGCGGGGGAUAACUAUUGGAAACGAUAGCUAAUACCGCAUAACAAUGGAUGACACAUGUCAUUUAUUUGAAAGGGGCAAUUGCUCCACUACAAGAUGGACCUGCGUUGUAUUAGCUAGUAGGUGAGGUAAUGGCUCACCUAGGCGACGAUACAUAGCCGACCUGAGAGGGUGAUCGGCCACACUGGGACUGAGACACGGCCCAGACUCCUACGGGAGGCAGCAGUAGGGAAUCUUCGGCAAUGGGGGCAACCCUGACCGAGCAACGCCGCGUGAGUGAAGAAGGUUUUCGGAUCGUAAAGCUCUGUUGUAAGUCAAGAACGGGUGUGAGAGUGGAAAGUUCACACUGUGACGGUAGCUUACCAGAAAGGGACGGCUAACUACGUG